rnacentral:lncRNA from 1 species
AAAUAUUACAGAGGUACCUUAUGAAGUUAUCUACGCGUAGGAAAAAGAACGGACACGUUUCGAGUUAUAUAUUGUGCGUAAUGACUAUUUCCGUAAAGGACUCCAUAAAUAUUAUCCUACGAAUAUCUCACUGUGUAUACACUGGAAAAUUCCAAAAUUUUUACAGUAGCUUCAUAUAUGUUAAGAGAGCAUACCCUGAAAAUUUCAGAUUUUUCUGAGCAAAACUCAAUUUUUUAAAAAUAGAGCAAGAUCUGAGUGUUUUGAGCACUUUAAAAAUAGUAAAUCAUUUUCUAAAAUUCUAGAAAAAUUAGAGGAUCAUUGUUGGUUCAUAUUCUGUUAAAAUCCAGAAGCUGAGAAUUUUUGGAAUCAGUUUGCUGUUUUUCCUAAAAAU